AGAGUUUGAUCCUGGCUCAGAACGAACGCUGGCGGCGUGCUUAACACAUGCAAGUCGAGUGCGCGCUUGUAGCAAUACAAGUGGCGCACGGCGCACGGGUGCGUAACACGUGGGUAACCUGCCCUUUGGUGGGGAAUAACCUCGCGAAAGCGAGGCUAAUUCCGCAUAAGAUCCGCAAGGAUGAAAGCCGCAAGGCGCCG
rnacentral:rRNA from 1 species